UUUGGUCCUGACCUUAAAAUCAAUUGUUACUUAACUUACACAUGCAAGUCUCCGCACUCCUGUGAGAACACCCUUUAACCCCUUUAAGGGGAAAGGAGUUGGUAUCAGGCUCAAACAUUAGCCCAAGACACCUAGCUAGGCCACACCCACAAGGGAACUCAGCAGUGAUUAACAUUGAAUAUAAGCGAUAGCUUGAUUCAGUUAAAGUAAAAAGAGCCGGCUAAUCUGGUGCCAGCCGCCGCGGUUACACCACGUGGCUCAAAUUGACCUAACUCGGCGUAAAGCGUGAUUUAAGGAAAUACUUUUGGUGCCAAAAAUAUACUAAGCCGUGACACGCUUGUACAUUAGAAGACCAAAAUCGAAAGCUACACCAACCUAACCGACUUGAACUCACGACAGCUAGGAAACAAACUGGGAUUAGAUACCCCACUAUGCCUAGCCGUAAACUUUUAUUUACACCCACAUCGCCAGGGAACUACGAGCCAAGCUUAAAACCCAAAGGACUUGACGGUACCCCAAAUCCCUCUAGAGGAGCCUGUCCUGUAAUCGAUAACCCCCGCUUAACCUCACCACUUCUAGCAAAUCAGCCUGUAUACCUCCGUCGUCAGCUUACCUCGUGAGCGCCUUUAAGUGAGCCCAAUGCCAAUACGCCAAUACGUCAGGUCAAGGUGCAGCUAAUGAAAUGGGAAGAGAUCGGCUACACUCUCUAUUUAUAGAAAAAACGAAAGACCACUUAUGAAACCUGGUCAGAAGGAGGAUUUAGCAGUAAAAAGAGAACAUAGU
rnacentral:rRNA from 1 species